rnacentral:rRNA from 1 species
UACGGAGGGGGCUAGCGUUGUUCGGAAUUACUGGGCGUAAAGCGCACGUAGGCGGCUUUGCAAGUCAGAGGUGAAAGCCCGGGGCUCAACCCCGGAAUUGCCUUUGAGACUGCAUCGCUAGAAUUGUGGAGAGGUAAGUGGAAUUCCGAGUGUAGAGGUGAAAUUCGUAGAUAUUCGGAAGAACACCAGUGGCGAAGGCGACUUACUGGACACAUAUUGACGCUGAGACACGAAAGCCAGGGGAGCGAACGGG